CCUACGGGAGGCAGCAGUGGGGAAUAUUGGACAAUGGGCGAAAGCCUGACCCAGCAAUGCCGCGUGAGUGAUGAAGGCCUUCGGGUCGUAAAGCUCUUUUACCAGGGAUGAUAAUGACAGUACCUGGAGAAUAAGCUCCGGCUAACUCCGUGCCAGCAGCCGCGGUAAUACGGAGGGAGCUAGCGUUGUUCGGAAUUACUGGGCGUAAAGAGUACGUAGGCGGUUAUUCAAGUCAGAGGUGAAAGCCCGGGGCUCAACCCCGGAACUGCCUUUGAAACUAGAUAACUAGAGUCUUGGAGAGGUUAGUGGAAUUCCGAGUGUAGAGGUGAAAUUCGUAGAUAUUCGGAAGAACACCAGUGGCGAAGGCGACUAACUGGACAAGUACUGACGCUGAGGUACGAAAGCGUGGGGAGCAAACAGGAUUAGAUACCCUGGUAGUCCACGCCGUAAACGAUGAUAACUAGUUGUUCGGUCACUUGGUGUACGUAGAGUAGACGACGACGACGUAACGACUAUUAAGUUAACGUUACCGUCCGUCGGGUAGGUACGGUCGGCGAAGAAGUAAACUAACUAAAGAAGUAAGUAGACGCGNGUAAGUAGUCGACGACGACGACGACGAGGAGGAGG
rnacentral:rRNA from 1 species